UGUAGAGCGACGCAGGAUCAGGAACAAGAGCUCUUACAAGAACUCAGUAGCUAAGGGAGUAUGAAGAGCAUAGCAAUCCCUGUAGUGAUUAUAGCUGUCCCCUACAAACAUGAGUCAAGGCUGCAAGUUAGAGGGUCAAGUCAUUCUGUUUUAUUGGCACCAAAAGAACCUUCUUUUAUGCAGGUUUCCCUUAGAUAGGACCACCCACAGGGUUUUACACAACAACCAAUCAUACACGUAUAUUACAG